rnacentral:tRNA from 1 species
GGUAAAAUGGCUGAGUUAUUAAGCAAUAAAUUGUAAAUUUAUUCACGAAAUUAAUUUCUUUUACCA